UGAACGCUGGCGGCGUGCUUAACACAUGCAAGUCGUACGAGAAAUCUUUAGCUUGCUAGAGAGAGUAAAGUGGCGCACGGGUGAGUAACGCGUGGAUAAUCUACCCUUGAAUCGGGGAUAACAUUGCGAAAGCGAUGCUAAUACCGGAUGAUAUCAUAAAGGCUUCGGCUUUAAUGAUCAAAGAUGACCUCUACCUGUAAGUUGUUGUUUGAGGAGGAGUCCGCGUACCAUUAGCUUGUUGGUAGGGUAACGGCCUACCAAGGCCGCGAUGGUUAGCUGGUCUGAGAGGAUGAUCAGCCACACUGGAACUGACACACGGUCCAGACUCCUACGGGAGGCAGCAGUGAGGAAUUUUGCGCAAUGGGGGAAACCCUGACGCAGCAACGCCGCGUGAGUGAUGAAGGCUUUAGGGUCGUAAAGCUCUGUCAAGUGGGAAGAACCUAUCCGGGAUUAAUACGUUCGGAUACUGACGGUACCACUGAAGGAAGCACCGGCUAACUCC
rnacentral:rRNA from 1 species